UACGGAGGGUGCAAGCGUUAUCCGGAUUCACUGGGUUUAAAGGGUGCGUAGGCGGCUUGAUAAGUCAGUGGUGAAAGCUCGCAGCUUAACUGUGAAACUGCCAUUGAAACUGCCAAGCUUGAGUACGAUUGAUGUGGGCGGAAUACAUCAUGUAGCGGUGAAAUGCUUAGAUAUGAUGUAGAACACCGAUUGCGAAGGCAGCUCACAAAAUCGCAACUGUCGCUGAGGCACGAAAGCGUGGGGAGCAAACAGG
rnacentral:rRNA from 1 species